UACGGGGGGGGCAAGCGUUGUUCGGAAUUACUGGGCGUAAAGAGCUCGUAGGCGGCUUGUCGCGUCGGCUGUGAAAACCCGAAGCUCAACUUCGGGCCUGCAUCCGAAACUGCCCGACUAGAGGUAGGUAGGGGAGAUCGGAAUUCCUGGUGUAGCGGUGAAAUGCGCAGAUAUCAGGAGGAACACCGGUGGCGAAGGCGGAUCUCUGGGCCUUACCUGACGCUCAGGUGCGAAAGCUAGGGGAGCGAACAGG
rnacentral:rRNA from 1 species